rnacentral:tRNA from 1 species
AAAGAGGCCCGAGGCAGUAAGGAUUGCUAAUCCUCAUUCCCAUGGGUUAAACUCCA